rnacentral:rRNA from 1 species
GACGAACGCUGGCGGCGUGCUUAACACAUGCAAGUCGAACGAUGAAGAAGAGAAACGCGAACUUCGGUUCAAAUUUCACUUCGGAUUAGUGGCAGACGGGUGAGUAACGCGUGAGCAACCUACCUCUUACAAAGGGAUAGCCUCGGGAAACCGUGAUUAAUACCAUAUGACACAUUCAUAAGGCAUCUUAAGAAUGUUAAAGCUACGGCGGUAAGAGAUGGGCUCGCGUCCCAUUAGCUAGUUGGUGAGGUAACGGCCCACCAAGGCGACGAUGGGUAACCGGCCUGAGAGGGUGAACGGUCACACUGGAACUGAGACACGGUCCAAACUCCUACGGGAGGCAGCAGUGGGGAAUAUUGCACAAUGGAGGGAACUCUGAUGCAGCGACGCCGCGUGAGCGAUGAAGGAAUUCGUUUCGUAAAGCUCUGUUCUAUGGGAAGAAAAGGACUGUACCAUAGGAGAAAGCCCCGGCUAAAUACGUG